AGUGAACGCUGGCGGUAGGCCUAACACAUGCAAGUCGAACGGCAGCACAGUAAGAGCUUGCUCUUACGGGUGGCGAGUGGCGGACGGGUGAGGAAUACAUCGGAAUCUACUUUUUCGUGGGGGAUAACGUAGGGAAACUUACGCUAAUACCGCAUACGACCUACGGGUGAAAGCAGGGGAUCUUCGGACCUUGCGCGAUUGAAUGAGCCGAUGUCGGAUUAGCUAGUUGGCGGGGUAAAGGCCCACCAAGGCGACGAUCCGUAGCUGGUCUGAGAGGAUGGUCAGCCACACUGGAGCGGAGACACGGUCCAGACUCCUACGGGAGGCAGCAGUGGGGAAUGUUGGACAAUGGGCGCAAGCCUGAUCCAGCCAUACCGCGUGGGUGAAGAAGGCCUUCGGGUUGUAAAGCCCUUUUGUUGGGAAAGAAAAGCAGCAGGUUAAUACCCCGCUGUUCUGACGGUACCCAAAGAAUAAGCACCGGCUAACUUCGUG
rnacentral:rRNA from 1 species